CUGCGGGCCAAGUAACAUUGAAUGGUCGUUGCGGCACUGACAUAGUCAUGCUGAUCGUUAUGACCCCUGCACGCUUCUUAUAAAGCAGCCGUUCCAUUCAGCGCAAGGAAGCUGCCGUAUUGAUUGCGCUGCUUGCGACUUCCUGCCCUUUUUUAGCACCACGUGGCUUUUCGUUGCUAAUGCUGACGUUUGCCAUCGCUCCUUAUUUGCCCAGAAACAAAUACAAGGUAAUUCAGCCGAGUUCGGCAUGCUGGUGGCAGCUAUUUUGAACAGCUAUUUUGAAUGGCCCACAUACUGCGGACAAGGCGCAUGGGGUUCGACCCUAAUAUAUAAUAAGAAAGAAUUCAGUCAUUAGUGCCAGGAACUUGUAACAUCCAGUACAGACUGCAGGAAACAAAGCUGUGAAAGCAUGCAUGCUAUAAUCCAAUU
rnacentral:sRNA from 1 species